GUCACACUCCUAUUGGUGGAGGGCUGUCACAUACUCACUUGCAUGCUACAACACAGCUAUACUACACGUAAACACGUGAUGUUAGAUAGGAGUGUCAAGGCUAAUGGUGAGUGAAAAUUACAUAUAUCAAGGGCAACACAAAUCAAGGAAAUCUUGAGGCACAAACAUCAAAUUCUCAUUAAUGCUGCACAAAGGUGCUGAGACUAUUCCAGAUGGUAUGUUAUUCCAGGCUGUGAUCAUCUGGUUGAAGAAGAGAUUCCUUCCUGAUCUCUGUAGGUGAUAAUGGCUUGUUGAAUUUGAAAUUGUGGGCUCCUGUGAUGUAUGAUAACAUCAUACUACAAAUGGGAAACAAGGGGAUCUUUUGGUCCUUCAAGGCUGUACCUGCAUAUACACCCUUGAGAAAAGGCAAAAUCUUAAAACCACUCUAUUUUUCAGGAAAUUACUGAUUUCCCUCUAAACUCUUGUAAAGAUUUGGCUACCACUAAUGCCAUAAACAUCUUAUUCCAUAUCGCAAUUACCAUGCCAGAAGAAUAAAGCUUAACUGGAGCCUAGCCUAUCUUUUUCCAUAACUUAAA